UUUGAAUCGGCACCUCGACGCAAAAGUGAUGUCUCUCUCAUUUCCCUGCACACCGUGCAUCGAUGAGUAAUUAGCCACUCAAAUGACCCGAUGAAGAGAGACUCUUUAUUCAGCUAAUUUGCUGAUGUUGAAGACAGAGAGAGAGAGAGAGAGAGAGAGAGAGAGAGAGAGAAAGAGUGUCCAUGUUCAGACCAGACCAUCCCGAUCAAUGGUCAUAAAUAGACCACCGACUCCACAGUCGCCGUGUUUCAAGAGACAGAAGGAGAAUCAGCACGAAACUCCAGAAUUAAAUAUGACUGAUGAUAUUUGAAAGCACUGGGACGGCACUUAAGUCUCCGAUGUCUGGGGUGGAGCCAGUUGAAGGCAGAUGUGAAGAUGUGAGAACGGUGCAGGUGAGUCAGGUGCUUUUUUAUUGUUGCCAUGGUGAUUUGCAUUAAAUACGCCUAUUUCUC